CUCGAAGUCUAUUGCGGGUGGAUUCAGUCAGGAGUCUACGAUCCUUCUGUCGGUACGUGACCUCUCAUUCUUAUGAAGAGGGACUCCGGGCAGUUAGGCGUGACUCGCAGAGGGCCUGACGCAUUUCCAACCCGCAAAUUAAGGACGCCGCAGCCGGUUGGGUAGCUGCGCGUGUCGGCCAUGAGGAAGGGCGGUGGCAGUAGACCGUUUCUCGCUAAAAAGUGGCGUUUGCCGGUUGUUUAGCCAGUCCUUCCGUGGCGCGACACCCGACCGAGGUUCAGGAGGUCUCCACUUAGAUGGUGACCUCGCCGUUCCUAUUCUGUAUAACAAAAUGCAAGAGCGGACCGGCGGACAGGCGAGAUACUGCGCAAUACCGCUCUAGUCAUCGAACUGUGUGGUGCGUAGUGUCCGCCGGUGGUCCGUAUCGGUUAAUCCGCAUCAGGGAUAACAAAAAUGGCUUGUGGCGAGUAGGUCGGUCACCCACCCGACCCGUCUUGAAACACGGACCAAGGAGUCUAACAUGUGCGCGAGUCAUGGGGUCUUGAUUAGGCCCAGAGGCAUAAUGAAAGUGAGCAAAAAAAUGUCAACUUAUUGAUAUGAGAGUGUUGGGAUUUCCCGGAUGAGUUCAUAGCCCGAGGAAAGCACCAACGACCCGCCCGUUCUUAAUUUAAAAAAGUGUGGACGGCGUUUGAGCGCACACGUUGGGACCCGAAAGAUGGUGAACUAUGCCUGGGCAGGACGAAGCCAGAGGAAACUCUGGUGGAGGUCCGCAGCGGUU
rnacentral:rRNA from 1 species